GGGCUCGCCACUUUUUACUAGCUAUCCGAUAGGGAAAUGAACCACUUAACAUUGCACAUGAUUAUAAUAAAAGUCCCCCAAUUAUGAAAUAAUGUAGCGUUGAAGAUGGCCAGUAUAACAAGUACUGUCAUACAACCUAGGAAAAGGGAUAAAACCAUUCUUAUAUCAAAAUGAGUCAUAAAACAUAUGUUCAUUAUCAAGAAUAACAUUAAAAGAGGGGGCAGGGCC
rnacentral:lncRNA from 1 species